UACGGAGGGGGUUAGCGUUGUUCGGAAUUACUGGGCGUAAAGCGCACGUAGGCGGAUCAGAAAGUUGGGGGUGAAAUCCCAGGGCUCAACCCUGGAACGGCCUCCAAAACUCCUGGUCUUGAGUUCGAGAGAGGUGAGUGGAAUUCCGAGUGUAGAGGUGAAAUUCGUAGAUAUUCGGAGGAACACCAGUGGCGAAGGCGGCUCACUGGCUCGAUACUGACGCUGAGGUGCGAAAGUGUGGGGAGCAAAC
rnacentral:rRNA from 2 species